GGCAUCGUGCUCAGGUCUUCCUUCACUGGUUGUACUUGAUGCGCUUUGCCUUACUUUCUAGAACGCCCGCUCGCGGACCGUCUCUAGGACUUUUACUGUGAAUAAAUUAGAGUGUUCAAAGCAGGCUUACGCUUGAAUACAUUAGCAUGGAAUAACAAAGUAGGACGUGCGGUUCUAUUUUGUUGGUUUCUAGAGUCGCCGUA
rnacentral:rRNA from 1 species